rnacentral:rRNA from 14 species
CGGUCCAAACUCCUACGGGAGGCAGCAGUGGGGAAUAUUGCACAAUGGGCGCAAGCCUGAUGCAGCGACGCCGCGUGAGGGAUGACGGCCUUCGGGUUGUAAACCUCUUUCAGUAGGGAAGAAGCGAAAGUGACGGUACCUGCAGAAGAAGCACCGGCUAACUACGUGCCAGCAGCCGCGGUAAUACGUAGGGUGCAAGCGUUAAUCGGAAUUACUGGGCGUAAAG